UACGUAGGGGGCAAGCGUUGUCCGGAAUCAUUGGGCGUAAAGAGCGUGUAGGCGGCUUGGUAAGUCCGCUGUGAAAGUCCAGGGCUCAACCCUGGAAUGCCGGUGGAAACUGUCAAGCUUGAGUCCGGAAGAGGCGAGUGGAAUUCCUGGUGUAGCGGUGAAAUGCGUAGAGAUCGGGAGGAACACCAGUGGCGAAGGCGGCCUUCUGGACCAAUACUGACGCUCAUGCACGAAAGCGUGGGGAGCAAACAGG
rnacentral:rRNA from 1 species